rnacentral:tRNA from 2 species
ACAUAUAUAGUAUAGUAAAUACAUUAGAUUUAGGUUCUAAAGAUAAUUAAGUAUGUU